rnacentral:rRNA from 1 species
UACAGAGGGUGCGAGCGUUAAUCGGAAUUACUGGGCGUAAAGCGCGCGUAGGCGGCUUUUCAAGUCGAUUGUGAAAUCCCCGGGCUUAACCUGGGAACUGCAGUCGAGACUGUCUAGCUAGAGUAUGGGAGAGGGAAGUGGAAUUUCAGGUGUAGCGGUGAAAUGCGUAGAUAUCUGGAGGAACACCGGUGGCGAAGGCGGCAUCCUGGACCGACACUGACGCUGAUGCGCGAAAGCCAGGGGAGCAAACGGG